GCACAAACAAUGAGUAAGGAAUUUACUGAUUGCUAUAAAACGAGAUGUGUGUGAUCCAACACAGAGAGUUACAGGACCUGUAGAUCUCAUACUACUUUCUUGGCUCUCUUUGAUAACAUCUUUUUGACUUUCACCCUUAGUCAGUGGAAAGAAGAUGAAGUGCAUUACGCUCUUUCUUAUUUUGUCACUGGUCAUCCCCAUGGCUGAACCUAGGAGAGGUUUUGUUCGCCACUUUUACAAAACACUGUCUCAUGGCGGAAAGUUUAUCCGUGGGGCUGUCAAAUAUGUCAAGAAACUUGGCGUGAAUGAGCAACAAGAUCUGGUCAAACGUUCAUUUAAUCAAGAGCAGGCAGCUUUUGAUUAGACCUUCUGAAUCUAUGAUGGUCCCUCUGAAAGAGCCGCUGUACAACUUUGUUUUAGAUGAAAAUAAAUGCUUCUUGCUUUUCAACAUAAAAAAGUACCGACUCAUUGCUUCAAUAUAUUGACCGAAUUGAUCUUGGACAUUUGGAAUAAAUCUGCUUUUCUGCAAAUCUGAUGUGAUACAUCAAAA